UACGGAGGUGGCAAGCGUUGCUCGGAAUCACUGGGCGUAAAGAGCGCGCAGGCGGUCGGAUCAGUCGAAUGUGAAAGCCCCCCGGCUCAACUGGGGAGGGUCAUUCGAUACUGUCCGACUCGAAGGCAGGAGAGGGAAGCGGAAUUCCCGGUGUAGUGGUGAAAUGCGUAGAUAUCGGGAGGAACACCAGUGGCGAAGGCGGCUUUCUGGCCUGUUCUUGACGCUGAGGCGCGAAAAGCUAGGGGGAGCGAACGGG
rnacentral:rRNA from 1 species